GAGUGGGGCAGGAAACUGCCCCUCUUCUCGAGCGCGGAGUAUGCGGAGGCAUUGGAGAAAGUGUGUUUUCGACUGGGCGUCACCGACGGAUGCGACAGAGAGGGUUUCCAGAAUCGGAUUCUGCGUACAGGGUGUGACAGACUCGACCUAAAAGCAGAGCGGGUCCCACGGAAUUCGUCUAGCGACCAUUUCUGUGGGACCUGUUGCUACGGAUGUGUCAGAGGAGACAAAAAGGGCACCGACACUACUUGGCUUGUCGACGCCGUCAAUGCCGGCGCGGUCGUCGUCUCCGGCUGCGAAGCCGAGAGGUUUCUGGUGACCAGGCGACGCUGCGUCGGAGUGACGGCG
rnacentral:lncRNA from 1 species